ACGGUUAAGGAUAUGAAAAACAAAAUUAUAUAGUAGUUAAUACAUUAAAAUUAUAUAAUAAUUUAUAAUAAAGUCAAAAAUAAUUUUCCUUUAUUGUAAUAAUUCUCUUUUAUGAUAUGUUUAACGAGUGUCCGGGGCACCUGUGAGCAAAAUCCAUGAAAAAAUAAUACACGAAUAUUGUGAUAUUUGUUGGCAAGCAAGCGAUCAAGUCAACGGAAUUGGACGUAUGGUACUAGUUUCCUUAACCGAUCAACUACGUUCAUUGUUUGUAAAUUACUACUACUUGUAUUUUAUUUUUUAAAGCCUAGUUUUUUUACUCGUGUUUGAUUGGUUUAGAAUCUUGUCCUUUUCAAGCAUUUGCUAUACUAUAUUAAUGAUAAAAAACAACUCAAUGGUUAAUAAGAGAAAUGAUAUUUAUACAAUCAUUUUUUAAUAAUUUUUAAACAACUCUCUCUUUCAUAUUCACCUGUUUUUUUAUUCUUUUUUUAUUCUUUCUCUCUCUAUUGUUUUUAUUCAAUAAAAAUAGAGAAAAAUAGUUGUCACAAAGAUUGUUUAAAAUUGGUUGUACAAAUAUCACUCGUCCAAUUAUUAAUGUUACAUUUUAUGAUAGGUGUUAUUUGUAGCAUCUUGCUAAUUUCGAUCUAAAAAUGGAAAAUCAAUACUAAAAUUUGUUGGUUUAUAGCUGACUAGCUGUGCAACAGAUCACAAUAUUAGGAUAUAUAUUUCCUUUUUUUACAAGAGGAUAUAUAUAUAUAUAUAUAUGUAGAUAUCCUGAAUUUGGCUUUUCAUAUUUUGAAAUAACAAUAUAGUUCACAUUACUUGUGAUUUGUGAAGAGUUUCUUGUAUGUGUAUCCAAAAAUAAAAUAAUAUAAUAAAGAGGUCAUUUCUACUUGACUUCUAUAAGCUUUGAUGGUACCAUCGCAUAGAUACCACACAGUGCAUUCCACUAAUAAAAUAAAAUAAAAUAAAAUUAUAGCGAUCUCUCCUCGUAAGUGUCUCCCUACAGCUUUUCCACUUUGUUGUUUUGUUUAUAGUUGACCAUAUGUCUAGGUCAUGGCAACGGGUAAAAAGCAAGUAGCAACUAGUUAGAACUUUACUAAAUUAAUAAUUUUGAAUUUUAUCAUGGAUUCUCUUACGAUGAAAAAAGUAAUAUUGUUGCAUAUAAAGAUGAAAUAAAGUAAUCAAGACUACUCAACUCGAUUCCUUUUUGUUAGGUCAAUGCCUAAUUUGGCCAGCUUUUGAUGUAAGUUAAAUGAAUCAUUAUCAUACGGUUACGGUAUUCGCCAAAAUAUCGAUCUGGAUCCUUUAUAUCUAGUUUACUUUAAUCUCUUAUAUUUUUUGUAAAAAACUUAUAUACAUUUCCUCAUAUAAAUUCAGUCUCUAUGUCUUGUCUCCGUGAAUUAAAAUCAAUUAGUUGGAAUAAUACACUAUAAUAUAUAAAGGUUGGGGUUUAAAUUUUGAACACUA
rnacentral:lncRNA from 1 species